GAAAUGCGAUAAUUAAUGUGAAUUGCAGAAUUCAGUGAAUCAUCGAGUCUUUGAUCGCACAUUGCGCCCCCUGGUAUUCCGGGGGGCAUGCCUGUCCGAGCGUCAUUGCUGCCCUCAAGCACGGCUUGUGUGUUGGGCUUCCGUCCCUGGCAACGGGGACGGGCCCAAAAGGCAGUGGCGGCACCAUGUCUGGUCCUCGAGCGUAUGGGGCUUUGUCACCCGCUCCCGUAGGUCCAGCUGGCAGCUAGCCUCGCAACCAAUCUUUUUAACCAGGUUGACCUCGGAUCAGGUAGGGAUACCCGCUGAACUUAAGC
rnacentral:misc_RNA from 1 species